UGUCUGCUGUGUUUUCGGCUGGGGGGGGGGGGCAGCCAGGGGUCGGCGAUGCUGGCCGACGAGUUUGUUGAAGAGGUGGAGGAGGCGUCUCGGGUGCAGACGACACAGCUGUUCGCCAUCGCCACGGCGACCCCAGGAGACGGAGGAGAAAACCUCAACGACGUCCUGACCACCCUGGAGCCGACCAGCUUCGUCUCUGAAGGCGUCUGUCUCCUGCCCCCGGCCGCCGGCGGCUGCCAGAACUACACCAUCAGCUGG